AACGAACGCUGGCGGCAUGCCUAACACAUGCAAGUCGAACGAGACCUUCGGGUCUAGUGGCGCACGGGUGCGUAACGCGUGGGAACCUGCCCUUAGGUUCGGAAUAACUCCCCGAAAGGGGUGCUAAUACCGGAUAAUGUCUUCGGACCAAAGAUUUAUCGCCUUUGGAUGGGCCCGCGUUGGAUUAGCUAGUUGGUAGGGUAAAAGCCUACCAAGGCGACGAUCCAUAGCUGGUCUGAGAGGAUGAUCAGCCACACUGGGACUGAGACACGGCCCAGACCUCUACGGGAGGGAGGCGUGGGGGAUAUUUGGCCAUGGGCGGAAGCCUGGUCCCGCCAUGGCGGGUGGGUGGUGAAGGCCUUAGGGUUGUAAAGCCCUUUUUCCCGGGAUGAUAAUGACAGUACCGGGAGAAUAAGCUCCGGCUAACUCCGUG
rnacentral:rRNA from 1 species